GAGGCAAGGAGUUCGAACGUUGAGCGCGC
rnacentral:sRNA from 1 species